rnacentral:rRNA from 1 species
UGGUGUUACUGGUUCCUACCUUCUGACGAACCAUCACGUCAUUCAUUUGGUGUGGCGGGGAAUCAGGACUGUUACUUUGAAAAAAUUAGAGUGUUUAAAGCAGGCUCGCGCUUGAAUACAUUAGCAUGGAAUAAUGAAAUAGGACGUUGAUCCUAUUUUGUUGGUUUCUAGGAUUGACGUAAUGAUUAAUAGGGAUAGUUGGGGGCAUUAGUAUUCAAUUGUCAGAGGUGAAAUUCUUGGAUUUAUUGAAGACUAACUACUGCGAAAGCAUUUGCCAAGGAUGUUUUCAUUAAUCAAGAACGAAAGUUAGGGGAUCGAAGACGAUCAGAUACCGUCGUAGUCUUAACCAUAAACUAUGCCGACUAGGGAUCGGAUGAUGUUAAUUUUUUAAUGACUCAUUCGGCGCCUUACG